rnacentral:lncRNA from 1 species
UGGAUUUUUUUUGUUCUAGUUUUUUAAUUCUGAAUUGUCUUAAAGUGUCAUACUUUUGUUUUAACUGUAAUCAAAUGUUUAAUUUUUUUUUUCUGUAAUCAAAGCUGCAUUACUAGAUUCUAGCAGCAGGAUGAAAUUCUUGCCUUAACAUGAGGAAAGACUUCAUAUCUUUAUUAAAGAAAAGGAGACAACGGCCAUUUUUCCAGAACUUUAAUUUCAGUACAGCUGACUGAUCUUGGGGAAGAACUGUCUUGGGAUCUUGCAGCAUUCUCUUUUGAAUCUGCUUAGUGCAAAUGCUACACCUUGCUCCAAGGAGAGGACUAGUCUAAGGACAAUUUAUUUUAGUGUGUUUGGUGUAGCCUGGAAAGACCUCAGGAUUAAAUGCCUGCAAUGAAGGCAGAACUGCCUCUUGUGAUUGUAUGUUUUUUCCAUAACCAAGAACUGGCUGGUAGAGCAGCCAGUCGGACGUUCUUCCAUUAAGAUAAUACGUGUCAAGUGAUAAGUAGCAAGCAAACAUUCUCAGUGGUAGAGAACCCUGAAAUAAAAGCUUCUGUCACUUAACUCCAUAAUUCCUUCCUGAUGAAUGCCAUGUGCUGACAUCUGCUACUGUAUGGAGAUUCCUACUUCUCUGAAGACAGUUAUCUUUCCCAGUAUGUCUAAGGUUCAAGGGAACUUUUCCUCAAGCUCACAAGUCUGUCUCCUGCCCCACAUUGCAGCAGCCUGGAGGACCAGCAGAAAGAAAAAUGUUGGGAGCUUCUUAUGGUCUAUUUUCUAA